AAUCAUUCCAUGCUACAUGGAAUAUUAUUUCAUUCGAUCGUGGAUUUGACAAAAUUUUUAUGACUUCGAUAGAUUGUUCGAUUUCACAUUCAUAUUGUAAUCUCGAAUAAAAAUUGUAUAAAAAAUGCUAUUUUUUAUGCUUCAGAUUUAUCAUUUCGUUUCAUCAAUCGAACGAUUUCUCGAAUCAUUUCAAAUCCAUGAAGAAUUUUAAAUUAUCGUAAAAUAAUGAAAUUGGGUGACAAGAUAUGAAUGUAUAUUUCAUUUCCUGCCCUAUAUGUAUAUAUAUGGACUUGAGCUACAAUUGUAUGAUGAUUUAGGUGAUAAAAUUGAUCUAUAAGCGAAGUAGUGUUUGCUCUAGGCCCACUUCUGCGUGUAUGCAUAUUACGAUAUCGAUUAAUAGCGAUUAUCCAUAGGCGUAAACAACCUUACUAGCCUACUUAGUGUUUAGAGAACGAUUCUAGCGAUUAACAAUCCCAUUUUUUCACACAGACAGAAUGCAAGAUGUUGAUCAGUGACUGGAAAUACUCUUUUGAGGAUAAAUUGUAAAGGAAAACAGAAGAAAGAUCCCAAAUUCAAACGUAGAACUGCUAGAUUCCCUUUGCUCCCCAAGUGUGACGUUUUUUCAAACGGAACUUAGGUUAGAAUAAGCCAAAUCUAGAAACUAUGAACGUUUUAAAUAAAAAAAGAAAAAAAUACAGAAGAAAAAAAUAUAUCGGAAGGCGAUAAAGUAUCUAUUUUUGCACUUGACUGAAAAAUGCUAAAGAAAAUUGCGAAGAAAAAAAAAUAAUAGACGAAGAAGAAGAUAAAAAAAGUUUCCUCUUAAUUCCAAAUAUUUGGUCAUUUGAUAGAAAUUAAAGAUUCUCUGUGACUCGAUCUUCUAUGAACAAAAGGUACAUAUAUUUAUACGUAGAUUAAAAAAAAGAAUAAAAGGAGAAAGUGGAGAUAUGAAUGUAGGAUGAUGAUAGAAAAAUCCAAUGUUCGUAAAUAAUCGCAGAUCGUUCUUUCUUAUGCGCGGACAGAUAGAACUUUUUUUUAUUCGAAUGAUAUGAAUAAUUACUUGAUAAUUAAUCGAAUAAUCGCUAUAGAUCAAUGCUAUUAGCAUCGAUCUUCAAUUGAGAUCGUGGCGGGAUUGUAAAAUUUUUGUCUAGCUAUUAUUGCAAUUCGAAUUGCACUAAAGCUUUGUAGAAUCACAAAAUCCGAUGCAUGACAUCUUAAAUGGAACUGUAUGAAAUUGAUUUUGUGGAAAUACUAAUCCCAACGUUCUGAUUUAAAGGAAAACAAAAAUCGACAGCUAUAAGAUUGUACAUAUAUGUUUACGGCCAUAUUACACUAAUAAUAAGUAUCACAAGUUCUUAAAACGUGUGCAAAUUAAAAAUAUUUGAAGGUUAAGUAACCUCAAAGAUAAAAUCAUCAGGAAUGUUUUCUUUGAAAUCAUAUAUGUGAAAAAGUGAUGUGAAAAAUACACUCUAAGAAAAACCUAACCUAAUGAAGUAAACAAUUUUGUUUAAAUUAUUUUUCAUCUCUAUCAGAUGAUUGAUAUAAAAAAGAAAAACGUGCACGUUGAUUCAAUGAAUUUUGAAUUCGUAAUAUUAUAAAUUGAAAGAAGUGAAAAUAAUAGAAUUUCUGAAAUUUUCAAUAAUGUUUAGAUUCUCGAACGUGUAGCAGAUUAUGCAAUUCUGUGUUCAGUUAAAGUAUUCGAGGUUAAGAUAUUAUCUUAACAGUUUCUUGUGAAUGCAAUUUUUGGAAGUGUAUAAAUAUUCAAAGAGAUAGAAAAAUAUUGAAUAAUUCUUCAUAAAAUAUACAUUUGUAAUGUUGAAAUUGUAAUAUGUAUUUGCUUUUAAAAUGAAAAAAAUAAGUUCUCUAGAUUGUGAAAUUGCGUUACGAUAAAUGAUAUUUGAUCGUUCCAUUGAAUUUAUUGCAAAGUUUGCUCUUCGCUGUUAAUCAGAUGAUAAUUAUCUAAUGUUUAUUCUAUUUGUAACUUCCUUCUAACUUGCAUUCACCGAAUAGGAAACACUGUACAUUGUAAGCGUGUGUCAUUUUUUCGAUUGUCAUAAACUGAUGUAAUGCAGAAUAUAUGAAAAGAAAAAAUAAUAACGAGGUUAAUUAUGCAAUCUCGAGAAAAUUUUUUUAGAAAUAUGAACAAAAUUCUAUUAUAAAGCAAGUCAUUUGAUUUCGCUGUACUUAAUUAACAUAACUAAUCAAUAUAUUAUAAUGUCUAUUAAAUAAAUUUCGAUUUCUAA
rnacentral:lncRNA from 1 species